GUAGGGAAUAUUGGGCAAUGGAUGCAAGUCUGACCCAGCCAUCCCGCGUGCCGGAAGAAGGCCCUCAGGGUUGUAAACGGCUUUUGACGGUGAAGAAUCGACAGGAUGCGUCCUGUUUUGACGGUAGCCGUUGAAUAAGCACCGGCUAACUCCGUGCCAGCAGCCGCGGUAAUACGGAGGGUGCGAGCGUUGUCCGGAUUUAUUGGGUUUAAAGGGUGCGUAGGCUGGAAGGUCAGUCAGCGGUGAAAAGCUGUCGCUUAACGAUAGUCUUGCCGCAGAUACUUCCUUUCGUGGAUGAGGAGGAGGCCACUGGAACGGAUGGUGUAGCGGUGAAAUGCAUAGAUAUCAUCCAGAACACCGAUUGCGAAGGCAGGUGGCUGUACCUUAAUCGACGCUGAUGCACGAAAGCAUGGGGAGCAAACAGGAUUAGAAACCCUAGUAGUCC
rnacentral:rRNA from 1 species